rnacentral:rRNA from 1 species
GAUGAACGCUGGCGGCGUGCCUAAUACAUGCAAGUCGAGCGAACAGAUGAGGCGCUUGCUCCUCUGACCUUAGCGGCGGACGGGUGAGUAAUACGUGGAUAACCUACCUAUAAGACUGGGAUAACUUCGGGAAACCGGAGCUAAUACCGGAUAAUAUAUUUAACCGCAUGGUUCAAUAGUGAACGACGGAUUUGCGUUCACUUAUUGAUGGAUCCACGUCGCAUUAGCUAGUUGGUAAGGUAACGGCUUACCAAGGCAACGAUGCGUAGCCGACCUGAAAGGGUGAUCGGACGCACUGGAACUGGAACACAGUCCAGACUCCUACGGGAGGAAGCAGUAGGGAAUCUUACGCAAUGGGCGAGAGCCUGACAGAACAACGCCGAGUGGGUGAGGAAGGCCUUGGGUGCGUAAAACUCUGUUACUAGGGAAGAACAAAUGUGUGAGUAACUAUGCAGGUAUUGACGGUACCUAAUCAGAAAGCCACGGCUAACUACGUG